rnacentral:rRNA from 1 species
UACGGAGGGGCGAGCGUUGUCCGAAGUUACUGGGCGUAAAGCGCGUGUAGGCGGGUUGCCAAGUCCGCUGUGAAAGCCCGAGGCUCAACCUCGGAGGGUCGGUGGAUACUGGCAGUCUUGAAGGUGCUAGGGGAGAUGGAAUUACCGGUGUAGCGGUGAAAUGCGUAGAGAUCGGUAGGAACACCAGUGGCGAAGGCGGUCUCCUGGGGGCAUCUUGACGCUGAGACGCGAAAGCUGGGGGAGCGAACGGG